GAAUAUACCAGCUGUAGAUUUCAACGACAAGACUGACCGUGAAAUUCCAUGCGAUACCAACAAUGAUAUUGCUGACUAUGCAACAGUUGAGGAAAAACCUGAAGAACCGGUAGUUGAAGAAAAACAUGAAGAACCUGCAAUUGAAAAGAAAUUUGAAGAAUCAACGGUUAUGGAGAAACCUGAAAAACCAGUGGUUAAGGUACAACCUGAAGAACCAGCAGUGGAAGAAAAAGUUGAAGAACCAACAGUUAAUGAGGAACCUGAAAAAUCAGCGAUGGAAGAGAACCCUGAAGAAUCAAUUGUUGAGGAGAAACUUGAAGAACCAACUGUUGAAGAGAAACCUGAAAAAUCACUGAUUGAAGAAACACCUGAAGAACCAAUAUGGAAAGAAACACCUAAAGAACUAGCAUUUGAAGAGCAACCAGAAGAACCAGCAGUUGAAGAGGAGAAACCUGAAAAGGUAUCUCUUUUGGAAG
rnacentral:lncRNA from 1 species